AAGACUAUACUUUCAGGGAUUAUUUCUAUAGUUCAUAACUGGAGAAGUUUCUCUGAAACAUAAAUUAAAAUUUCAUA
ensembl:snoRNA U3 Small nucleolar RNA U3